rnacentral:rRNA from 1 species
CCCGCUGAACUUAAGCAUAUCAAUAAGCGGAGGAAAAGAAACCAACAGGGAUUGCCCUAGUAACGGCGAGUGAAGCGGCAACAGCUCGAAUUUGAAAUCUGGCUCCGGCCCGAGUUGUAAUCUGUAGAGGACGCUUUUGGCGCGGUGCCUUCCGAGUGCCCUGGAACGGGACGCCACAGAGGGUGAGAGCCCCGUAUGGUCGGACACCAAGCCUCUGUAAAGCUCCUUCGACGAGUCGAGUAGCUUGGGAAUGCUGCUCUAAGCGGGAGGUAAACUUCUUCUAAAGCUAAAUACUGGCCAGAGACCGAUAGCGCACAAGUAGAGUGAUCGAAAGAUGAAAAGCACUUUGAAAAGAGGGUUAAAUAGUACGUGAAAUUGUUGAAAGGGAAGCGCUCAUGACCAGACUUGCGCCGGGCUGAUCAUCCAGUGGUCUCCUCUGGUGCACUCUGCCCGGCUCAGGCCAGCGUCGGUUGCCGCGGGGGGACAAAAGCUCUGGGAACGUGGCUCCCCCCGGGGAGUGUUAUAGCCCUCUGCGGAAUACCCCCGUGGCGACCGAGGUCCGCGCCCUGCAAGGACGCUGGCGUAAUGGUCAUCAGCGACCCGUCUUGAAACACGG